GUUCGAUCCUGGCUCAAGAUUGAACGCUGGCAGGAUGCUUUACACAUGCAAGUCGAACAGCAGCACGGACUUCAGGUCUGGUGGCGAGUGGCGAACGGGUGAGUAAUGUAUCCCGGAACGUGCCUAGUAGCGGGGGGAUAACUACGCGAAAGCGUAGCUAAUACUACGCCGCCCUUCCCGGGGAAAGCGGGGACCUUCGGGCCUCGCACUAUUAGAGCGGCCGAUAUCGGAUUAGCUAGUUGGUGGGGUAACGGCUCACCAAGGCGACGAUCAGUAGCUGGUUUGAAGGACGACCAGCCACACUGGGACUGAGACACGGCCCAGACUCCUACGGGAGGCAGCAGUGGGAAUUUUGGACAAUGGAAACCCUGAUCCAGCCAUCGCGUGUGCGAUGAAGACCUUCGGUUUACUAAAGCUUUGCCGCACGGCAGGAAAGAAACGGCGCGGGAUAAUACCCGAUGCAACUGGUACCUGCAAGAAUAAGCACCGAUAACUACGUGCCAACAAACCGCGGUAAUACGUGGGGUGCAAGCCGUUAAUCGGAAUUACUGGGCGUAAAGCGUGCGCAGGCGGUUCGGAAAGAAGAUGUGAAAUCCCAGGCCAACUUUGAACUGCAUUUUUAAUACCGAGCUAGAGUGUGUCAGAGGAGGUGGAAUUCGCGAUAACGGUGAUAAAUAUUAGAUAUGCGGAGGAACACCGAUAGCGAAAGGCAGCCUCCUGGGAUAACACUGACGCUCAUGCACGAAAGCGUGGGGGCAAACGGUUGAACCACCCUGUUAAUUCUUGCCCUAAACGAUGUCAACUAGCUGUUGGGGCCUUGGGCAGCGGUAGCGCAGCUAACGCGUGAAGUUGACCGCCUGGGAGAAUACGGUCGCAAGAUUAAAACUCAAAGGAAUUGACGGGGACCGCACAAGCGGUGGAUGAUGUGGACCAAUUCAGUACAACACGAAAACCUUACCUACCUUGACGCUGUCUGGAAUCCCGAAAUUUGGGAGUGCUCGCAAGAGAACCGGAACACAGGUGCUGCAUGGCUGUCGUCAGCUCGUGUCGUGAGAUGUUGGGUUAAGUCCCGCAACGAGCGCAACCCUUGUCAUUAGUUGCUACGAAAGGGCACUCUAAUGAGACUGCCGGUGACAAACCGGAGGAAGGUGGGGAUGACGUCAAGUCCUCGCGGCCCUUAUGGGUAAGGGUUUCACGUCAUACAAUGGUCGGGACAGAGGGUCACCAACCCGCGAGGGGGAGCCAAUCCCCGAAACCCGAUCGUAGUCCGGAUGCAGUCUGCAACUCGACUGCGUGAAGUCAGGAAUCGCUAGUAAUCGCGGAUCAGCAUGUCGCGGUGAAUACGUUCCCGGGUCUUGUACACACACCACCCGUCACACCAUGGGAGUGGGUUUUACCAGAAGUAGUUAGCCUAACCGUAAGGAGGCAGUGCUACAGUAGGAUUCAUGACUGGGGUGAAGUCGUAACAAGGUAA
rnacentral:rRNA from 1 species